AUUGAACGCUGGCGGAAUGCUUUACACAUGCAAGUCGAACGGUAGAGGGGGCAACCCCUCGAGAGUGGCGAACGGGUGAGUAAUAUAUCGGAACGUGCCCAGUCGUGGGGGAUAACGUAGCGAAAGUUACGCUAAUACCGCAUACGAUCUAAGGAUGAAAGCGGGGGAUCGCAAGACCUCGCGCGAUUGGAGCGGCCGAUAUCAGGUUAGGUAGUUGGUGGGGUAAAGGCUCACCAAGCCAACGAUCUGUAGCUGGUCUGAGAGGACGACCAGCCACACUGGAACUGAGACACGGUCCAGACUCCUACGGGAGGCAGCAGUGGGGAAUUUUGGACAAUGGGCGCAAGCCUGAUCCAGCAAUGCCGCGUGCAGGAAGAAGGCCUUCGGGUUGUAAACUGCUUUUGUACGGAACGAAAAGGUCUGGGUUAAUACCCUGGGCUCAUGACGGUACCGUAAGAAUAAGCACCGGCUAACUACGUGCCAGCAGCCGCGGUAA
rnacentral:rRNA from 1 species